AGUUUUGGCCUGCAAAGACUUCCUUCUUUCGCCUCCACUACCCAACUCCUGUGAGGGACUCAGGCAUAGUUCGGGCAGAGACAGAAAGAGCGAGCGCGCGAAGAACUUUGGUAUCGAGGGAGAGCUCUUGUGACGCUACGAACCUCUCGAACACCUGACGACUGGGCGCCAGGGCCGGAUGGAUGGUGGAGAGCCACUGCGGCGCAGCUGCCUCCUCUUAACGGGGACACCUAGCAGGAAUGUGCGGAGUGGAGCUAAGGGGAGCGGAUAGAAACCGAGGGAGGGGAAGAGAGCGCGAAGGCUUGGCCGGAAGGAGAGGUUAAAAAGGAAAGGCCUAAAAUGAGGAAGAGAGUUACCACAACAAGCAGUACCUAGUUCCAGUUCUUGGUCCCAGGAGUUUGUGGUUGUUGCUGCUUUCAUCUUCCUCAGCCAACACAAAAGGAAAGUGCCAAGGGGCGAUUCCUAGGACCUUCAGUGCAGUCUCCACCUUGCGGACUUGGCUUAUUUGUGUGCACUCCUUUCUCCAGCCUUUUACACUUGAUGCUCUUGGAUG
rnacentral:antisense_RNA from 1 species